CUACUAACGCUGGUCACGGAAAUAUUUCUUAUAGAGGCAGGCGGUAACAUCUACGACCCGUGCUACCGGUACAGGUGCUACAACGGUGGGUUCUGCAUCGCCCCGGCUGACGCCCCCUACUGUCAAUGUCCUGCAGGCUUCACUGGCCAGCGGUGUGAGACGGUCGUAGACGUGAAACCUGGCCUGUGUCCAGCGGUCCAUGACAUCCUGUGUAGAGGGACGUUAUGCCACAGCGACAGAAACUGUAGGGGCACACAAAAAUGCUGCAGGAAUAAGUGUGGGGACAAGGUCUGCUCAGAGC